AUGAGCACUGUAUGUAGAGGAUAUACAUAGAAUAUGCAACCGUGACACGUGCAGAUUUUCAACGGGGUAUGAAUCGAUUAAUUGAUGAACUUUUAAGAAAAGGAUUUAGAUUAAUUGAUAUGACAGCAUCAUUAUUUUGAACCGUA